UGGGGAAUAUUGGACAAUGGGGGGAACCCUGAUCCAGCCAUGCCGCGUGUGUGAAGAAGGCCUUAUGGUUGUAAAGCACUUUAAGCGAGGAGGAGGGUACUGGUAUUAAUACUACCAGGUACUAGACGUUACUCGCAGAAUAAGCACCGGCUAACUCUGUGCCAGCAGCCGCGGUAAUACAGAGGGUGCGAGCGUUAAUCGGAUUUACUGGGCGUAAAGCGUGCGUAGGCGGCUAAUUGAGUCGGAUGUGAAAUCCCCGAGCUUAACUUGGGAAUUGCAUUCGAUACUGGUUAGCUAGAGUGUGGGAGAGGAUGGUAGAAUUCCAGGUGUAGCGGUGAAAUGCGUAGAGAUCUGGAGGAAUACCGAUGGCGAAGGCAGCCAUCUGGCCUAACACUGACGCUGAGGUACGAAAGCAUGGGGAGCAAACAGG
rnacentral:rRNA from 1 species